CCUACGGGAGGCAGCAGUAGGGAAUAUUGCUCAAUGGGGGAAACCCUGAAGCAGCAACGCCGCGUGGAGGAUGAAGGUUUUAGGAUUGUAAACUCCUUUUGUUAGAGAAGAUUAUGACGGUAUCUAACGAAUAAGCACCGGCUAACUCCGUGCCAGCAGCCGCGGUAAUACGGAGGGUGCAAGCGUUACUCGGAAUCACUGGGCGUAAAGCGUGCGUAGGCGGGGUAAUAAGUCAGAUGUGAAAUCCUGUAGCUUAACUACAGAACUGCAUUUGAAACUGUUACUCUGGAGGGUGGGAGAGGUAGGUGGAAUUCUUGGUGUAGGGGUAAAAUCCGUAGAGAUCAAGAGGAAUACUCAUUGCGAAGGCGACCUGCUGGAACAUUACUGACGCUGAUGCACGAAAGCGUGGGGAGCAAACAGGAUUAGAUACCCCUGUAGUC
rnacentral:rRNA from 1 species